UACGGAGGGUGCGAGCGUUAAUCGGAAUUACUGGGCGUAAAGGGCGCGUAGGCGGCUGAUCAAGUCAGGUGUGAAAGCCCACGGCUUAACCGUGUGAAGUGCAUCUGAAACUGGUCGGCUUGAGUAUCGGAGAGGAAAGUGGAAUUCCCGGUGUAGAGGUGAAAUGCGUAGAUAUAGGAAGGAACACCAGUGGCGAAGGCGAGUCUCUGGACAUUUCCUGACACUGAGGCACGAAAGCCAGGGGAGCAAACGGGAUUAGAUACCCCUGUAGU
rnacentral:rRNA from 1 species